CCUACGGGAGGCAGCAGUGGGGAAUAUUGCACAAUGGGGGAAACCCUGAUGCAGCGACGCCGCGUGAGUGAAGAAGUAUUUCGGUAUGUAAAGCUCUAUCAGCAGGGAACAAAUAAAGUCCUUCGGACUUUGGACGGUACCUGACUAAGAAGCCCCGGCUAACUCCGUACCAGCAUCCGCGGGAAUACGUAGGGGGCAAGCGUUAUCCGGAUUUACUGGGUGUAAAGGGAGCGUAGACGGCAGCGCAAGUCUGGAGUGAAAUCCCAUGGCUUAACCAUGGAACUGCUUUGGAAACUGUGCAGCUGGAGUGCAGGAGAGGUAAGCGGAAUUCCUAGUGUAGCGGUGAAAUGCGUAGAGAGUAGGAGGAACACCAGUGGCGAAGGCGGCUUACUGGACUGUAACUGACGUUGAGGCUCGAAAGCGUGGGGAGCAAACAGGAUUAGAUACCCCAGUAGUC
rnacentral:rRNA from 1 species